rnacentral:rRNA from 1 species
AUUGAACGCUGGCGGCAGGCCUAAAACAUGCAAGUCGAACGAGUGGCGGACGGGUGAGUAAUGUCUGGGAAACUGCCUGAUGGAGGGGGAUAACUACUGGAAACGGUAGCUAAUACCGCAUACCAUCAGAUGUGCCCAGAUGGGAUUGUCUAGUUGGUGGGGGAAGGGCUCACCAAGGCGCCGAUCCCUAGCUGGUCUGCGAGGAUGACCAGCCACACUGGAACGGAGCCACGGUCCAGACUCCCACGGGAGGCAGCAGUGGGGAAGAUGGCACAAUGGGCGCAAGCCUGAUGCAGCCAUGCCGCGUGUAUGAAGAAGGCCUUCGGGUUGUAAAGUACGUUCAGCUGGGAGGCGUUACCCGCAGAAGAAGCACCGGCUAACUCCGUGCCAGCAGCCGCGGUAAUUC